rnacentral:rRNA from 1 species
UACGUAGGGUGCAAGCGUUGUCCGGAAUUAUUGGGCGUAAAGAGCUCGUAGGCGGUCUGUUGCGUCGGCUGUGAAAACCCGGGGCUCAACUCCGGGCCUGCAGCCGAUACGGGCAGACUAGAGUUCGGCAGGGGAGACUGGAAUUCCUGGUGUAGCGGUGAAAUGCGCAGAUAUCAGGAGGAACACCGGUGGCGAAGGCGGAUCUCUGGGCCUUACCUGACGCUGAGGCGCGAAAGCUAGGGGAGCGAACAGG